rnacentral:lncRNA from 1 species
CAGUAUUAGAUACUUUAUUCAUCUUAUUUGAAUACUUGUGUAAGAUAGCCACUAACUGUGAAAUCAAUUUAAAAUAUUUCUUUGUUCAAAUGUUCACAGAACUGUUUCAGUCACUUCGCUAAUAAAUUCCAAGUCACUAGUUCAUUUCAUAAUCAAAAUCAUUUCUGUCUCUCAAACAAUCCAGCUAAGUACCCACAUAUAAAUCAAGAGUCAGUCACUAGUUACGAAGCAUAAAACCAACAAUCCAUACACCAAUAUCCAUUCUUCUUGAAUGCAACCAAAAUCUUUUCAUAUUUUUCAGCAAUUUUAGUCUUAAAAUACACCAGCAGCAAGAGCAAGACUAUAAAUCAAGAAAUAUUAUAUAAUAGCCAAAAAACUAAUGUUUGCUAUGAACUCAGAACUCUGUAUUUACACAGUUGAUAGGAUAUUAUGAUUAUGAUUAAGCACAUAUUAAGAUGUAUUUUUAUCCAGCAUAUGGUUCUUGUGUUUACAUAUUCUAUUUCAUAUUCCAUGUGGAUAGUUCACUAUUCUAAGCAAGCUUUGAUUAUCUGCCUUAUAUAUCUCAAUACUUCAUCUAUCCGCCUAAUAUCCAUACUAUUCUCUCUUAAAAAAAAAAAAAAACAAACAAACCAACAUCUAGAUGUGAAUUAAACACCAUUUAACUUUGUGGUUUUCUCCUUUCCACACUAUAUUUUCUGAUUUUCAGCUCAAUAUUCUUUCCAGGAAACAAUUUUCCUUUGCUAAGUGUAAGUUUGCAUAGCCACUGAGAGAGAGCAUCAAAAUUCACCUUUUUGUACCCUCUCAUUUCUUUAUCCUCACAUCCUUUUCAAACAGUCACAUUGUGACCAAAAC